UCCAGACUUAUCUAUCUAGCUCUCUGGCUGUAACACAAAUAAGACGCAUAGAGAGGUGAUUAUUGCCUGAGAUUAUAAUGUAAAUUGAACGGCUACGGAUAGAAAAGAGCAGAUGCUCUGAGCUUUCCUCCCAAGACCAAGACACUACUACUACUAUUCCUGUAACAGAUUUACUGUAACAGUUUACUACUAUUCCACUUGAACACAGUACCAAGAAAAGAGACAGCACUGCUCUACUCUGUCCAGUGUCCACGGCUGCCAUCAUCAUGUCCAAGCUCAUCUGUGUGGCUCUCCUACUGGUCUUUCUGGCCUCCAUUUGGUGCCACAACACAGUCUAUUCUACCAAAUGGUCUGUGAGGGACGUGCUCCGUAAGUGUCGGUGCAAAGUUCUUCCCAAUGGGAGAGAGAUCUGCCGCAAGCCACUCUUUCCCAAAACCCCUGAGGAGACAAAGCAACUGAUUAAAUGCUUCUGCAGGAAAUAUAACUUGUAUAAACACAGUGCAAAGCUGAACUUGGAGAAAUGUUCAUUUAUCUGGUCCAACCCCUUCUGAGGAUGAGAGAGCAAGGGGGUGAACAAAUGAUUUUAAAUCAUUGUUACACCCGCAUAAUCAGUCUUUUAAACAUGUCAAUCAAAUAAAUAAAUUAUUUUUCUAUAUUAUCAA